rnacentral:lncRNA from 1 species
GGUGGAUGGAGGAAGAGAGCGAGUGAUGAGAUGAGUGAGACUCGGACGGAAUCUUGUUUUUCUGCCGUCCUUCCGACAGGGGAUGGUUGGCGAGUCACAGUUCACAACAGUCAGCAGAAGGAUUUAGGCCCCGUCUUCUUCCACUUACUUAUUUUUAGCACCCGUCACAUAGAAUGUUUAGAUACUAAUUAGGAGUAUUAAACGUAGACUAUUUACAAAACCCAUUACAUAAGACGAAUCUAUUAAGCCUAAUUAGUUCAUGAUUUGACAAUGUGUUGCUACAGUAAACAUUUGCUAAUGAUGGAUUAAUUAGGUUUAAUUAGGCUUAAUAGAUUCGUCUCGCCGUUUAGAUUUGUCUUAUGUAAUGGGUUUUGUAAAUAGUCUACGUUUAAUACUCCUAAUUAGUAUCUAAAUAUUCGAUGUGAUACGUGCUAAAAAUAAGUCAGUGGAAGAAAAUGUCCCCUUAAUUACCGGAACAAUACAACUAAAGUUUUUUUUUCUGGGAUACUUUUCUUAGAGCUAGGUUUUACUUAAGGAUAUAUUACAUCUAUUUUCCGGUCUUGAGUUUACAUUUCAAGUUAUUAUAAUACGAAACCUCUGUGCAAACAGACACAAUUAACUACUAUUCGUUCUGCAGAUCAAUCAUCUAAUAGUGUCAGUGGGCGUUUGGUUGGGAGUAAUUGGGGUGAGGGAAAGUGAGUUUAUAAAUAAGAUCUUAGAAUCCUCUUAUUUGUUUGGUGGGAUGGAAAAGGGAAGCCAACUCCUAGUGAUCUCUUCUCAAGGGAAUGGAUGACAAUUGGAUUAUACUUUUAUAAGUUUUAGAUGAUUUAAGAUACAGUACUUUCUCAUGACAAAAUCCACACACCAAGUAGAGGGUAUGAAUUCCCCCUUAAACUCCCCUCCUAGUCCCCUCCACGAACCAAACAAAGAAUUGAGACUAAUAUACAUCCAGUUCAUAUUUUUUGUUGAGAUAUAUAUAU